GACGCACGCUGGCGGCGUGCCUAAUACAUGCAAGUCGAACGCAGUGGGGACGGGUGAGUAACACGUGGGUAACCUCCCAUCAGAGGGGAUAAACCUUGGAAACAGGUGCUAAACCGAUACUGAUGGAUGGACCCGCGGUGCAUUAGCUGGGUGGUGGGGUAACGGCCCACCAAGGCGACGAUGCAUAGCCGGCCUGGUAGGGUGAUCAGCCACACUGGGACUGAGACACGGCCCAGACUCCUACGGGAGGCAGCAGUAGGGAAUCUUCGGCAAUGGACGAAAGUCUGACCGAGCAACGCCGCGUGAGUGAAGAAGGUUUUCGGAUCGUAAAGCUCUGUUGUUAGAGAAGCGGUAUCUAACCAGAAAGCCACGGCUAACUACGUGCCAGCAGCCGCGGUAAUAC
rnacentral:rRNA from 1 species